UACUGCCAGUUUUCUUCACCGUUUGCCUCACAGUUCGCUCAUCUCCAGAUACUAUCACCAUGACUUCGUACACUCAAGGUAGAAGAUAAGUGUCGCCCGUCUCGUAACAGAUCACCGAACAU
rnacentral:misc_RNA from 1 species